CCUACGGGAGGCAGCAGUAGGGAAUCUUCCACAAUGGGCGAAAGCCUGAUGGAGCAACGCCGCGUGGGUGAAGAAGGUCUUCGGAUCGUAAAACCCUGUUUGUAGAGAAGAAAGUGCGUGAGAGUAACUGUUCACGUUUCGACGGUAUCUAACCAGAAAGCCACGGCUACCUACGUGCCAGGAGCCGCUGUAAUACGUGGGUGGCAAUCGUUAUCCGGAUUUGUUGGGCGUAAAGGGUACGCAGGCGGUCAUUUAAAUUUAGUGUGAAAGCCUUCGGGUUAAACGGAGUAGUGCAUUGGAAACUGGGGUAUUUGAGUGCAGAAGAGGAGAGUGGAACUCGAGGUGUAGCGGUGAAAUGCGUAGAUAUAUGGAAGAACACCAGUGGCGAAAGCGGCUCUCUGGUCUGUAACUGACGCUGAGGUUCGAAAGCGUGGGUAGCAAACAGGAUUAGAUACCCUUGUAGUC
rnacentral:rRNA from 1 species